rnacentral:lncRNA from 10 species
UGCGAUCUUGGCUCACUGCAACCUCCAUCUCCUGGGUUCAAGCGAUUCUCCUGCCUCAGCCUCCCGAAUAGCUGGGAUUACAGGUGCAUGCCACCACACCUGGCUAAGUUUUUGUAUUUUUAGUAGAGACGGUGUUUCACCAGGAUGGUCUUGAUCUCCUGACCUUGUCAUCUGCCCGCCUUGGCCUCCCAAAGUGCUGGGAUUACAGGCGUGAGCCACCAUGCCCGGCCAACAUUGUUCUUUAUAGAAAUCUUUAGUGUUUCCUCUUCUCUGUCUAUGGAAUAUAAUUCAAAUGUCUUAGCCUGGCAUUCACAGCUUUUUACCACAUGACUUAGAGCUACAUUCUUUGCUACUAUUCUCUAUAUGAAUCCUUAGAUCCAGCCUAAUUGAUGUACCCUGCUUCUGUUCACAUCUCAUCCAUUCCUUUGCUUAUACUUUUCCUCACAUCAUUUCUACCAAGAAAUGCCACUUCCUACCUUCCCCUAACCUCUUUCUCUCUCUCUCCUACUUUCUUUCUCCUUUAUUCUCUUCUCCCUGUCCUUUCUUUUUUUCCCCCUCUUCUUAACUAGGUCUUAUCUUCCUUUUACGGUUCAUGCCCUACCUGAAACCUUUCCUGAAUGUUCCAGCUUUUAGUUGUCUUGACUUUCUCUGAAUAUCUGCAUCACUCAUUACUCCUGUAUCCCUAAAGUCAGAAAUUAUAUGCAGAUAUCCUUGCACUCUCUAAAAUGUCUAAUCCCAAAAAGAUGGUGGCCAAAAAGGCUCUAGCCUAAAAGUUUACCUAGCAUAAUAGAUUUAAAAUUUUAAGCACCUAGCAUAAAUUUGUUUCAAAUACAGGUUAUUUCCUAUCCAAAAUGCUUGGUAUACCGGAAGUGGAUAUUUUUACAGAUUUUGGAAUAUUUGCAUAUGUAUACUGAGAUAUGCUGGGAGAUGGAACCCAAGUCUAAACACAGUUCAUUUAUGUUUCAUAUAUACCUUAUACACG